rnacentral:rRNA from 1 species
CAGCAGCCGCGGGAAUACGUAGGGUGCAAGCGUUAAUCGGAAUUACUGGGCGUAAAGCGUGCGCAGGCGGUUUGUUAAGACAGAUGUGAAAUCCCCGGGCUCAACCUGGGAACUGCAUUUGUGACUGGCAAGCUAGAGUCUGGCAGAGGGGGGUGGAAUUCCGCGUGUAGCAGUGAAAUGCGUAGAUAUGCGGAGGAACACCGAUGGCGAAGGCAGCCCCCUGGGCCAACACUGACGCUCAUGCACGAAAGCGUGGGGAGCAAACAGGAUUAGAGACCCCCGUAGUCCCUGUCUCUUAUAC